UACGAAGGGUGCUAGCGUUGUUCGGAAUCACUGGGCGUAAAGCGUGCGCAGGCGGCGUCUCAAGUCUGGUGUUAAAGCCCGAAGCUCAACUUCGGCAUGGCAUUGGAAACUGGGCGGCUAGAGUGCGGUAGAGGUCUCGGGAAUUCCAGGUGUAGCGGUGAAAUGCGUAGAUAUCUGGAGGAACACCGGUGGCGAAAGCGCGAGACUGGGCCGUAACUGACGCUGAGGAACGAAAGCGUGGGGAGCGAACAGG
rnacentral:rRNA from 1 species